ensembl:misc_RNA Metazoa_SRP Metazoan signal recognition particle RNA
GCUGGGCGUGGUGGUGCAUGCCUGUAGUCCCAGCUACUUGGGAGGCUGAGGCAGGAGAAUUGCUUGAGCCUAGGAGGUGGAGGUUGCAGUGAGCCGAGAUCACGCCACUGCACUCCAGCCUGGGCGACAGAGCCAAGACCCUGUCUCAA